GCCACAGCUGUGGCCCUAAAAAGAAAAAACAAACAAAUAAACAAAUCCCACCCAAAACAAAGAGAAGCCAUCUUGCCUACCAUCCUGCCUCCACUUAGGACCACAGAGAAGCACUUUUUUUUUUUUUGUCUUUUAUUUGUUCAUCCUGCUCUACCCUAGGCAGCUGGGUUCACAGAUGUAGGUACAAAUAUGGGUAAAAAUAGCCUGGAGUAACCAGAGUGGUGCCCUGGGGCCAGGAGGAGGAGCCUGGGUUCAGGACUGGCUCACACCAGGCAGGGUGCUGCUGAGUCUACAAGAGCCUGUGCCCUCUUCCCUUCCGAGAAUGUCAUUCUAAUGCUGCAGUGCCCGCAGCCAACCGGCAGGCGGGCAGGGGCGAGAGAGCAGCGAUGCUCUCUUUAAGAGAGAAAAUGCAUCUUAAAAGCAGUGGGAGCUAAUUUGCUCUUCUGUAAUCAGUCACCCUGGACAGAAAACAAAAACACACCCCAGCAAGCCCAGAAUGGCUGAGAGGAGAUGAAGCCUGGCAGGCAGGGAUGGAGACCUUGCAGAGAGGGUGUUUUUCUCUUUAUGGCUUUAAAAUAAAAUGAAUCUUUCGGACAUAUGGCACACAUGUGCAUGUGUAUAUGUGUGUGUGUCUGUGUUUCAGGAGUCAUGGCUAAAGUGGUGCCUAUCUUUUCCAGACUUCUAAGCAGUCUCCAGCUCACCCUGCUGACCAGCCUCUUUUGGAUGCAUCUGUGGGCAGUGAGGAAAUGAUGAGUUCAGAUACGCCUUCUCUGUGCUCCUCCUCUGGAUUAUUGGAAGGACUGACUACCAUCGCUCACGUGAAGUUUGCCGCUUAGCGUCUGGUACACACAAUGGGUCCUUUGCCAAGAAGUAAGGCGUGCAGAAAUGACCUCACUCGAGAAGGCCAACAACCCCACCGUCCGUAUGCUGUAGUACAUGUGAUUCAAGGCUCCUUCUGUGAGGAUAAAGACUGGAUGAAACAGGGAAGGAAUGGGGUUCCUUCCUCAGGUGGGGUUAUAAUGCCUUCAUUCAUCAAUAAGGACACCCGUGCAAAAUUAUGUUUUAAUGGUCCUUUCUGUUUGGUUCCCUGAAGGAUUUAACAUCCUACAGAGUACACCAUAACACAGUUAGGAGUGGAUAAAGGAAACACGCUUUUUUAUAUAGUGGGAGAAGGGCAAUUAAAAAGGCCGAGAAUGGCAGAGUUUGGUCCUAGGCCCAGAGAGGUCUUUUAUUUUCAUUAGGUCACACAGCACAACUGUGUGCCCCGGUUUCAAGACUCUACUUUUCUAAGACAUCAUGCAUACCUCUCAUAACCCAGGCUACACGUCCUACUUUCCUUCUAGGAGACUAGUCAUGAUCUGAUUCUCUGUUGAGAUGUCCAGCCCCUCAGUCUGCUAGGAUGAUAAGGCUCCAAGUCUUGGCAAGUCCACCCUAAUUCCCUGGAUGCCCAGUGCUGUGUCAGCAAAGCCCUGCUUGCCCUGGGAAUUAGCAGUGUUUCUCUCAGAGGCUGUGCAGCCAGGGAGACUUGUCCUAACCUCAUAAAAGCCCAGGAAUCUGCCUAAUUGAUGGUUGGUUCUGGCAUCGGUCGCUGGCUGGCAGUAAACAGGGAUCAUCACUGAUGCGCCCAGACACCUUUGUGCCUCUUGUGGUUCUGCUUGUCCAGCGAGAGGCAGUGGGGUUGUCCACAUGGGAACGCUCACUUUGGGAUAUCGGUCCAGUCCUGCCUUCGCUGUGCUGGGUGACGUGGAGCUAGGAAAAGAC